UACGGAGGGUGCGAGCGUUGUCCGGAAUCAUUGGGCGUAAAGGGCGCGUAGGUGGCUUCUUAAGCGUGCGGUGAAAGCCUGGGGCUCAACCCCGGGUCGGCCGUGCGAACUGGGGGGCUGGAGCACUGUAGAGGCAGGCGGAAUUCCGGGUGUAGCGGUGGAAUGCGUAGAGAUCCGGAGGAAGACCGGUGGCGAAGGCGGUCUGCUGGGCAGUUUCUGACACUGAUGCGCGACAGCGUGGGGAGCAAACAGG
rnacentral:rRNA from 1 species